rnacentral:rRNA from 1 species
CAGUAGCCGCGGGAAUACGAAGGGGGCUAGCGUUGUUCGGAAUUACUGGGCGUAAAGCGCACGUAGGCGGAUAUUUAAGUCAGGGGUGAAAUCCCGCAGCUCAACUGCGGAACUGCCUUUGAUACUGGGUAUCUUGAGUAUGGAAGAGGUUAGUGGAAUUGCGAGUGUAGAGGUGAAAUUCGUAGAUAUUCGCAGGAACACCAGUGGCGAAGGCGGCUAACUGGUCCAUAACUGACGCUGAGGUGCGAAAGCGUGGGGAGCAAACAGGAUUAGAUACCCCCGUAGUCCCUGUCUCUUAUAC